AAGACUGAGAAAUGGUGUUCUAAAGUGAUGGUCUUGGCUGCCCCCACGAUGAAGAGUUGGUGAUGCUCAUCUUGAACAUAAAGAAUGUAGAGACUUGGUUCAUCCAUGUUCUCUGUUACUGAUGACUGUUCACUGUUUCUUCUAGAGACGGUGAGUGAAGGAGUGUGAUCUGAGUGGU
rnacentral:snoRNA from 1 species